rnacentral:rRNA from 1 species
CCCUUAGAUGUUCUGGGCCGCACGCGUGCUACACUGAGUAAUUCAAUGGGUAAGGGAACGCUAGAGCAUUACCUAAUCUUGAAAUUUGCUCGUGAUGGGGAUCGACGGUUGCAAUUUUCCGUCGUGAACGAGGAAUACCUUGUAGGCGCAUGUCAUCAUCAUGCGCCGAAUACGUCCCUGCCCUUUGUACACACCGCCCGUCGCUCCUACCGAUUGAGUGAUCCGGUGAGGCUCUGGGACCUGGACGGAAAGAGCGUUUCGCUUGUUCUGUUUGGGGAACUUGGUCGAACCUUAUCAUUUAGAGGAAGGAGAAGUCGUAACA